rnacentral:rRNA from 1 species
UGUAAGCGUAUACCAAAGUUGUUGCAGUUAAAACGCUCGUAGUCGGAAUUUGGCAGUUCCGGAUGUGUGCACGUCGUGUGCGCACUUCGCGGGGAUUGCUUUUGUGGUCUUGCGUAGGAUGAGGCACUUUUAUUAGUGAACGUCCUCACGCAACCACUUUUUACUGUGAGAAAAUCAGAGUGCUCAAAGCAGGCAUUUGCCGUGAAUGUAUUAGCAUGGAAUAAUAGAAUAGGACUUGGUUCUAUUUUGUUGGUUUGUUGGGACUGAGUAAUGAUUAAGAGGGACAGUUGGGGGCAUUUGUAUUCCGGCGCUAGAGGUGAAAUUCUUAGAUUGCCGAAAGACAAACUGCUGCGAAAGCGUCUGCCAAGGAUGUUUUCAUUGA